GGAGGCGUCGCAUAGUGGUCGAGUGCGCUCGCUUGGAAAGCGAGUGGAGCGAAAGUUCUCGAGAGUUCGAAUCUCUCCGCCUCCG
rnacentral:tRNA from 1 species